AUUGAACGCUGGCGGCAUGCCUUACACAUGCAGGUCGAACGGUAACAGGUCUUCGGAUGCUGACGAGUGGCGAACGGGUGAGAAAUACAUCGGAACGUGCCUAGUAGUGGGGGAUAACUACUCGAAAGAGUGGCUAAUACCGCAUGAGAUCUACGGAUGAAAGCAGGGGAUCGCAAGACCUUGUGCUACUAGAGCGGCCGAUGGCAGAUUAGGUAGUUGGUGGGAUAAAAGCUUACCAAGCCGACGAUCUGUAGCUGGUCUGAGAGGACGAUCAGCCACACUGGGACUGAGACACGGCCCAGACUCCUACGGGAGGCAGCAGUGGGGAAUUUUGGACAAUGGGCGCAAGCCUGAUCCAGCAAUGCCGCGUGCAGGAUGAAGGCCUUCGGGUUGUAAACUGCUUUUGUACGGAACGAAAAGCCCUGGGUUAAUACCCUGGGGUCAUGACGGUACCGUAAGAAUAAGCACCGGCUAACUACGUGCCAGCCGCCGCCGUAAUAC
rnacentral:rRNA from 1 species